UAUUUCAAUGCACACAAAGUCGUAUCUUGUAUGAAUCUACAAAAUAGCCACACUUUAUGAAUAAGACGGAGCACAAUUCUAAAACAUUAUUCGAUGGAAGCUUUGAUUGCAAAACGAACAAAACGGUUAUAUCUUAGUGUUGUUUGAGGUUUCAUAAUUCGAGAAGAAAAACAUUGUCUUUAACCAACAUACAACAAUGUAACCAUCUAUCAAGGAAUGAAAAAUAUGCAGGGGGGGUUCCUCUUGUAGUGCUCGUUCUGGCCAAGGAUGAGCGAACACCUUGCUGUAUGAACCAUGGACACACACGGCAGCUGGCCUGGUUGCACUCGUCCAACUUGACAGCAUGCCUCGAGUGCUCGCUCAGGGUGCCCCUACUGGUCUGGUUCCGGACACAGCUCAGGAUGAAUAUGCCAAGCAGGUAGCACGGCUGUCAAGGCUCAUCAGAGCCGGGUCUUGAACACGAAGGGCCGGUUGACCCAGCCCUGCCAGGUCUUGAAUGCCUACAGCAACAAAGGUGAAUACCAGUUUCAUCAACGCAUUGCACAUGUUUUUGUUUAUUUGAACUUGGUUGAUGGUCUAUCCAAAAACGGAAAGCAAAUAGUGAGCCGUAUGAAGCAUGGGUAAGGAACUUCACAAAAGAAGCUAGCUGACUGCAGAAAUCAACCUUUUCUUUUCCGUGCCGAUAAAAAUAUCAUUCUAUUCAGAUAUCUAUAAAGAUGAUCGUGUUAAGGGGAAUAUUGUCAUCAUUGGACUUCCUAACGUUAGCAUAAAAAAAUAUGCAACUAACAAAACUCAUGCGGUG
rnacentral:lncRNA from 1 species